rfam:Triticum aestivum genome assembly, contig: Triticum_aestivum_CS42_TGACv1_scaffold_322436_4BL
UAAAUACUCCUCCGUCCGGAAAUACUUGUCGAAGAAAUGCAUGUAUCUAAAUAUAUUUUAGUUCUAGAUAUAUUUAUUUUUAUCGAUUUCGGCGACAAGUAAUUUCGAACGGAGGGAGUAAAAG